CAUGCAAUUUUCUUGAUUUUGGCUUACACUAGAAAACUUUUUCUAUUUGUGUUUUGGCCAAGUGAAACUGAAGCACAGAAUUAUGUUCUCCUUGCUAUCCAGUGCUCCAUUCAUGCUGCAAUAGGACGUUGGUGAACUAUAUUC